AUGGUGUGGGUGAUGGGUGGUGUCAGGAAUGAUGGGCCAGUGUCAGGAGUGAUGGGCCAGUGUCAUGAUGGGGCCAGUGGAGUAAUGGGUGGGUGGCAGGAUGAUGGGCCAGUGUCAGGGAGGAGGGCCAGUGUCAGGAAUGAUGGGUUGGUGUCAGGAGGAUGGGCCAGUGUCAGAGUAAUGAUGACAGUGUCAGGAAUGAUGCCAGUGUCAGGGAUGAUCGGCCAGUGUCAGGAAUGCUGGGCCAGUGUCAGGCAUAAUGGAUACGGCUUCAACACGCCGCCCAACUACAACGACCACGAGAUCUACUGCGGCGGCUACGCGAGGCAGUGGGAGAAACGGCGGGAAGUGCGGCCCGUGCGGGGACCCCUGGGACGCGCCGCAGCCUCGCGACAAUGAAGGGGGCGGCAAGUAUGGAAGAGGAGUAAUCGUAAAGAAAUACAAGCACAGCAGCAUUGUGAACCUUGGAGUCCAGCUCACAGCCAACCAUAUGGGAUUCUUCGAGUUCCGCCUGUGUCCCCACAACCAGCCCAACAAGCCUGUUACAAAUGAAUGUCUGGAUCAGAAUGUUUUGCAGAAGGCUGAUGGAUCUGGUACACGGUAUUAUCCUGGUCCAGGUGCCAAGACCUUCUAUUCAAGAUACCGCCUUCCCCUUGGACUGACCUGCAAGCAAUGUGUUUUGCAGUGGCGUUAUGUAGCAGGCAAUAACUGGGGUAAAUGUGAAAAUGGCACAGGAAUGGUUGGCUGUGGACCUCAGGAACAGUUCCGGUCUUGUUCAGAUAUCACCAUCACAGAAGAAGAUGGAUAUGCUGAUGAAACACCAAGUUAUGUACCAGACUAUGAUGAUUACAACGAAGUUGACACCGAGACUCAGGAAGGAUUGCCCAAAGUACCAGAAGACACUGCCAACCAUGUGGGACACAUUGUGGCACUCACCCUAUCCUUCCUGUUGGUUGUGCUGGUCUUGUUUGGUCUCGUUGUAUACUUCUACUGGGCUCGUGAUGCUUUCAAAGGCUUCAUGAAGAGCCAAGCAGGGCGCUGGUCAAAGACUCCUCCACCUGUACCAACCUCCGCUCCUCAAAAGAGCUCUAUUAUUACAAUUUCUGGACCUAUUGGAGCACCUCCACCAGUUCCUCCCCGCCGUCAGCGAUCUGUAUCAGGUGGAGAACCUGCUUUGAAUUCUGAUCAGAGAGAGAUACGAUCAAUUAGUGCUCCUACUAGGGUAACUAUCAAUGGCAUUGCUGUACGUCCUAGUGGUGCUGAUAAUGGCAUUUCACAAGCUCGACUCCAUGUGCCUGAUGAUUGAGUAGUGUAAUCUGUAACCAUUGUAAUAAUGCAAGGGUUGUAAGUUUCUUUGGGAUGUAAACUAGUAUUUUUGUUUUUUUUAACAGUGUAACCAUUCCAAUGUAAAAUUAUAUUCAUGUCUGUAGUGAAUUUUACUUGAAUAUGUAUAGCAUGAACUCCUAAGCAUUCUUAGUGUAGCUGGCCAGUUCUUAGUUAUAUUUAUAACUGCAACCAGUGCUUUGUGUCUGAUUUAAGUGAUACUGUCUGCUCUUGGAAAUGUGGAAUAUUUAAUAUAAUUUAUAUGUUCCAAAUUAACAUCACAAGAGUAUUUUUCUUCACAACCAAAAGUGCAUGACCAAGGAAACCUGUAGUACUGAACACUUUAUGCAUUAAGUAGACUGCACCAGGUCAUGAUUUUUUCUGGGUAUUAUAUAUAUUUUUUUGCUUUUAGGUUUUUCAUGCAUUUCAGUUUAGAAAUCCUAGUGCAUUGUAAAAUAAGUCUACCAAGAAUAUUUUGAAAAUUCGAUUGGAUUUUUUUUUUUUUUUUUUUUUUUUUUCGUCUGGAGGUACUGAUUUGAAAUCUUGUAUAAUGUCAAUUCUGAAGGCAGUAUUGUGUGAUUUGGGAAUGUAGAUAUCUUGAGUGUAAAAGCAGUAAUUAAAUUCAUUCUUUAUAGUUAUCAUAAAACUUGAUUUACACAUUUUGGCUGGUACAAUUACUGUAGGCCUCUUGCCUGUUUUUGUUGAUAAAUGUAAAGGACUUUGAAUUUGGUACAAUAUCUGCUUUGACAUAUUUGAGACAAUGUGAUCAGUUAUGUAAUAAUUUGCAGAUAGUCUGCAGUCUCAAUAUUAUUAAUAAUCUUCCAGAUGUCCCAUUUCAUGGUUAGAUCUUUGUGAAUAUGUUCAUGUAGUGGAUACAUUUCUGUGCAGUCCCACAUUUUGUUUGUGGAUUUCCUAUAUAUGAAAGCCACUAAUGCAUUAGAGAGGUUUCACUGCCUUUUGCCAUGUUUUAUUUAAUUCAUGUUAUAAUUGUAAAGUUGCCACCAGUAACUAGUUUGUGAUAAUACACAAGUGUGAAUAACUGAGUUUUGUGCUAGUUAUGAGAUGCCAUGCAGACUGAUUGGCAUAUUAAUGAAUGGAUGUAAAAUGUCCAACUGACAUGAAAGCAAAUAUUUUUGUACUGGUGAAGCAAGAUCCCAUGUGAUUUUUGUAUGUGAUGUAAUACAGAAUUUAAUAGAA